rnacentral:lncRNA from 1 species
AAAAAAAGUUAUAUAUUAAUUGGAAAAGAAAAGACGGCCACAAAUCCGAAUUUUGAGCAAAUAUAUUUCGACCUCAUUUUACUCAAACAGUAGCAGAUGAAGGUAUAUUUUUUCAUUACAUAUUUGAAUAAAUCAGGUAAAAUUAGUUAUCGAAGGUACCAGGAUUAUAAUUUAGUACGCCAGACGCACGUUUCGUCUACAUAAGACUCAUCAUUGACGCUCAUAUCAAAAUAUUUAUAAAGCCAAACAAGUACAAAGUUGAAGAGCAUUGAGGAUCCAAAAUUCCAAAAAGUUGUGCUAAAUACGGCUAAGGUAAUCUAUGCCUGGGAUAAGAAAAUCCUUAGUUUUCGAAAAAUUCAAAAAAUUUUGUAACAGGAAAUUUAUUAAAAUUACCACAUUAUUGAUAUUCAUGUCACAAAAUAGUAAAUAUGUUGAAAAUUUUUAUCAAAAUGAAAAUACGGG